rnacentral:rRNA from 1 species
CCCUUAGAUGUCCUGGGCCGCACGCGCGUUACACUGAUGCAUUCAACGAGCUUAUAACCUUGGCCGAGAGGCCUGGGCAAUCUUGUUAACGUGCAUCGUGAUAGGGAUAGAUUAUUGCAAUUAUUAAUCUUGAACGAGGAAUUCCUAGUAAACGCAGAUCAUCAAUCUGCAUUGAUUACGUCCCUGCCCUUUGUACACACCGCCCGUCGCACCUACCGAUUGAAUGGUCCGGUGAAGCCUCGGGAUUGUGGCCAGUUCACUUUAUUGGGAGUUGGCUGCGAGAACUUGUCUAAACCUUAUCAUUUAGAGGAAGGUGAAGUCGUAACA